CUUGAAAUCGAAUACGUGCGUCGCGAUCGCGAUCGCAAAGACGAUUAUGGUGAAGUCGGAAAAGGUGUAGAUGGUCCAUCUCGAAGACCCAGAGUGCCUGGUGACGAAGAAGAUGGACCUUACGGCAAUCUAUUUAAGGUUCCUGACGAUGUAAAGCCCGUCGAAAGGCAAGGAAAGGGGUGUGGUGGCUGUAACAGCUGUGGAUCUUGUGGGGGCUGUAAAAAGGGGCAAAAACGGAACAAGGGUCCGUCGCCUUGUGCAAGCGAAGCCGGUCGG